UCCACACCAUGGACGGUUUACCACUUCUGUG
rnacentral:piRNA from 1 species